AUUGAACGCUGGCGGCAGGCCUAACACAUGCAAGUCGAACGAGUGGCGGACGGGUGAGUAAUGUCUGGGAAACUGCCUGAUGGAGGGGGAUAACUACUGGAAACGGUAGCUAAUACCGCAUACCAUCAGAUGUGCCCAGAUGGGAUUAGCUAGUAGGUGGGGUAAAGGCUCACCUAGGCGACGAUCCCUAGCUUGUCUGAGAGGAUGACCAGCCACACGGGAACUGAGACACGGGCCAGACCCCUACGGGAGGCAGCACUGGUGAAUAUUGCACAAGUGGCGCGAGCCUGAUGCAGCCAUGCCGCGUGUAUUAAGAAGGCCUUCGGGUUGUAAAGUACUUUCAGCGGGGAGGCGUUACCCGCAGAAUAAGCACCGGCUAACUCCGUGCCAGCAGCCGCGGUAAUUC
rnacentral:rRNA from 1 species